CCCCAGGCGGUCGAUUUAUCACGUUAGCUGCGGGCGCCAAAUUUAAAGGUCCCCCCCCAAAUCGACAUCGUUUUUGCGUGGACUACUAGGGUAUCUAAUCCUGUGUGCUCCCCACGCUUUUUACAUGAGCGUGUCUACAUUCCCAAGGGGCUGCCUUCGCCUUCGGGAUUCCUCUUCUCUCUACGCAUUUCACCGCUACACGUGGAAUUCUACCCCUCCCUCUGUACUCUAGCGACCCAGUAUGAAAUGCAAUUCCCAGGUUAAGCCCGGGGCUUUCACACCUCACUUAAUUCACAGCCUGCGUGCCCUUUACGCCCAGUUAUUCCGAUUAACGCUCGCAGCCUCCGUAUUACCGCGGCUGCUGGCACGGAGUUAGCCGGUGCUUCUUCUGUAGUUAACGUCAAUCAUCUAGUCUAUUAAUCUAUUUGCGUUCCUCGCUACCGAAUGAACUUUACAACCCGAAGGCCUUCUCAUUCACGCGGCAUGGCUGCGUCAGGGUUGCUCCCCAUUGCGCAAUA
rnacentral:rRNA from 1 species